UACAGAGGUCUCGAGCGUUAGGCGGAAUCACUGGGCUUAAAGCGUGUGUAGGCGGCUCGUUAAGUCCCUUGUGAAAUCCCACGGCUUAACCGUGGAAUUGCUGGGUAUACUGGCGGUCUUGAGCCACUUAGGGGCUACCGGAACAAAUGGUGGAGCGGUGAAAUGCGUAGAUAUCAUUUGGAACGCCAAUGGUGAAAACAGGUAGCUGGGAGUGUGCUGACGCUGAGACACGAAAGCCAGGGGAGCAAACGGG
rnacentral:rRNA from 1 species